rnacentral:misc_RNA from 1 species
UAUUCUACUUGGACUCAGUUGUUUUCAAAGUUGAUCUUUCUGUUGAAUCCGCUUUUUAUGUUCUUUAUUUUUUGUUAUGUUGAGGCUUUCAUCACUUAGUAAUCACUGGCAAAUUAGUUUAGAGAGUCAUUAAAUGGUUGUUUCUGCAAAGCAAAAAUGCAAGAGAUUUGGUUAGGCAGAAUACUUUCUCACCAAACCAACAAACCUGUGCACACUCCUGUUUGCAUGUAAACCUAACUAAUACUGCAGUUAUAAUUAAUGUGACUGUCUGCUUUUCUUCAACAAAAUGG